rnacentral:tRNA from 1 species
GGGUGAUUAGCUCAGUUGGUAGAGCAACUGACUCUUAAUCAGUGGGUCGGGGGUUCGAAUCCCCCAUCACCCACCA